AUUGAACGCUGGCGGCAGGCCUAACACAUGCAAGUCGAGCGGUAGAGAGAAGCUUGCUUCUCUUGAGAGCGGCGGACGGGUGAGUAAUGCCUAGGAAUCUGCCUGGUAGUGGGGGAUAACGUUCGGAAACGGACGCUAAUACCGCAUACGUCCUACGGGAGAAAGCAGGGAACCUUCGGGCCUUGCGCUAUCAGAUGAGCCUAGGUCGGAUUAGCUAGUUGGUGAGGUAAUGACUCACCAAGGCGACGAUCCGUAACUGGUCUGAGAGGAUGAUCAGUCACACUGGAACUGAGACACGGUCCAGACUCCUACGGGAGGCAGCAGUGGGGAAUAUUGGACAAUGGGCGAAAGCCUGAUCCAGCCAUGCCGCGUGUGUGAAGAAGGUCUUCGGAUUGUAAAGCACUUUAAGUUGGGAGGAAGGGCAGUAAAUUAAUACUUUGCUGUUUGACGUACCGACA
rnacentral:rRNA from 1 species